GGAGCGGAAGUGAAUCAGUGUCAGUAGUUUUAAUGCAUGAAAACAAACUAGAAGUGUGUCGUUGGAGACGGGAUGCGUUUUUAGUUUUAUAUAUAUUAAAUCACGUCUGUGAUCUUCUUUAAAUGGUCUCGAGCAGCAGAUAAACAUGGCAUCUAACGGAUGAUCAGCUUCUCAACUGAAGGGGAUAAGGUUGUUUGGAGCCUCACACUCAUCCAGCAGAAGCAUGUGGACAGAAAUUGACAGUAAUGAUGCUCAUCUGCUAAAGGACAUGUCAGACUUUUCACUGCGCCUUUUUCACAGAUG
ensembl:processed_transcript